GUCCCCGUAGCGAAGUGGUUACGCGCUUGCUGAUUAGAGUUGUUUUCUUCAGCGUUGCUUUUCAAACAGCGAUAACAGCGAGAGACGUCAGUUCGAACCUGGCCGGGGACA